rnacentral:rRNA from 1 species
UCUGAUGUACGGCGAAGUUCUACCCAUCGCCGGAGGCUCUUUCUGGCGCGCUGAGCUCUCGUAGACCUGACUCGGCUCCGUGGCUCCAAGUGCAGACCUCGGUCUUUUCCUCCUCGCGGCUCUCUCGAGGCAGGGGACUGGGCCGAAACUUCCCCCGACUGACCGCUUCGCUGCUUGCGAGGUGCCUGCCCGUCCUCCUGUUGUGGUGCGAAGGACAUGGCUCGGAUAGACGCGACAUGCCUUGGCUUGCCACCGGCUGGCGCCCCGACUGUGGCGGCGGCGGUCGUCUCUCCUUUCGACCUCAGAUCGGACGAGAUUACCCGCUGAAUUUAAGCAUAUCACUAAGCGGAGGA